rnacentral:rRNA from 1 species
AUUAAGGGCAGACGGGAGAGUAAUAGUAUAGGUAUCUACGUAGUAGUACGGAAUAAUUGUGAGGAACGGCAAAUGAUCUCGUAUACGCCGUACGGGGGAAAAAUUUAUUGCUAGUAGAUGAGCCUAUAUUAGAUUAGGUAGUUGGUGCGGGUAAUAGCUUACCAAGGCAAAGAUCUAUAGCUGAUUUGAGAGGGAUGAUCCGCCACACUGGAAGUGAGAUACGGUCCAGAAUUUUACGGGAGGCAGCAGUGGGGAAUAUUGGACAAUGGGCGAAAGCCUGAUCCAGCCCUGUUGCCUGAGUGAAGAAGGCCUUUGGGUUGUAAAGCUCUUUUGGUGAGGAAGAUAAAGACGGUACUCACAGAAGAAGUCCUGGCUAACUCCGUGCCAGCAGCCGCGGUAUUACGGAGAGGGCAAGCGUUAUUCGGAAUUAUUGGGCGUAAAGGGCGCGUAGGCUGAUUAAUAAGUUAAAAGUGAAAUCCCGAGGCUUAACCUGGGAAUUGCUUUUAAAACUAUUAAUCUAGAGAUUGAAAGAGGAUAGAGGAAUUCCUGAUGUAGAGGUAAAAUUCGUAAAUAUUAGGAGGAACACCAGUGGCGAAGGCGUCUAUCUGGUUCAAAUCUGACGCUGAGGCGCGAAGGCGUGGGGAGCAAACAGGAUU